rnacentral:rRNA from 1 species
UACAGAGGUCUCAAGCGUUGUUCGGAUUCAUUGGGCGUAAAGGGUGCGUAGGCGGCGCGGUAAGUCGGGUGUGAAAUCUCGGAGCUUAACUUCGAAACUGCAUUCGAUACUGCCGUGCUUGAGGACUGGAGAGGAGACUGGAAUUCAUGGUGUAGCAGUGAAAUGCGUAGAGAUCAUGAGGAAGACCAGUGGCGAAGGCGGGUCUCUGGACAGUUCCUGACACUGAGGCACGAAGGCCAGGGGAGCAAACGGG